GGCGCGGGGGGAAGCCCGCGGCACCCGCCUCCAGGGGGCCCAGCCCCGCCGCCGCCGCCGCCCGCGAAGAGCGGGUCCCGCCGCCGGGCGUCCGGGCGUCCCCGCGAGUCCGAGUAGGAGCCGAGUCAGAGCGCCAGCGGGAGCCGGGCCGGGCGCGGUGGGCGCCGCCCGCCAUGGACCACAAGCCCCUGCUGCAGGAGCGGCCGCCCGCCUACAACCUGGAGGCCGGCCAGGGCGACUUCGCGUGCGGCCCGCACGGCUACGGCGCCAUCCCCGCCGCCGCCGCCCCGCCGCCGCCCUACCCCUACCUCGUCACAGGGUUACCCACGCACCACCCCAGGGUCUACAACAUCCACAGUCGAAAUGUCACCCGGUACCCUGCCAAUUCCAUCGUUGUCGUUGGAGGCUGCCCUGUCUGCAGGCGGCCAGAGGAGGGUUGUGGGCAUAAAGGAUCCUUACCAUGUUUGAGGACGGGUCGGGGUUCUGGAGGACUCCUUCACCUUCCUGGGCAUCUUCUUGGCCAUCGUCUUGUUCCCCUUUGGGUUCAUCUGCUGUUUUGCCUUGAGGAAGCGAAGAUGCCCCAACUGUGGAGCAAACUUUACUUAAAGGGAACAGCACGCCUGGCUUCCCCACACCCAGCUCUCUUUUUCUAAUAGCACGCACCCCAGUGCCCAGGACCUAAGGCAAGGCCUCCCGUGCUGUGUGACGCAGUGGAUGGCCUGCGUGUGAGUUUUCAUCACCUCUCUCCACUCCUCCAAAUUGGGCGUAGUCCCUGACAGCCAGAGAUAAACCCUGCCACUGGCUCCGCCUCGCCUCGCCGCUGCAGAAGCGCAGGUUCCGGGUACGCUGGCGUGGGGCUCAGCCGAGGUGCAGCCUCCCACUACCCUCCCCUGGCUCCCAGAGGUCCUCCUGGCUUCAGCAGCGCUGUUUGCAGUUUCAGCACCUGACUGAAAAGUGGAGAAACUUGCACCCCAAGAGGUUUCAGAGUAAAUCAGUGAUGGAGGCAGCUUUGGUCAACUAGCUUAGCAAGAGGACCCUGGGUUUCUACAUGCGGAGUCCCCAGAUGCAUGUGUUACCCUGUGAGCCAGGCCCGCAUGUAGCAUGGCCUGGCAUCUUUUCAUUGGUAUUCCAGUUGGUUACUCAGAACGCCGAAUUCAGUACCUCUUAGAAAUUAUUCAAGUGCUAAUAUCAUGGCUGUGAUAGGGGACAGGUGAAUUCUCAGUGCCCUAGCGCUGUGUCUAGAUCACGAGAACUUGUGGGAUGCUUUAUCUUGGGUAGGGCUGCAUUUGAUUUAAGCAAACAUUUAAAAGUUUUUAAGUUAAAAAAUUAAAUUUUAUACAAUAUUCUCAUAAUUUAUAUUGCUUAAGAUUAUUUGCAUGCUGGGAUGCAAAUCUACACAGUGUUU